UCCCGAAAGCUUCUCUUCCCCUCCUCUCUCUUCCUCCUGUUCGCUCUCUCUCGCUCUCCCUCUCCGACGCGUGCAGGGGGCGACGGCGGCUGCGUGCGUCUUCGGCGACGGCUGGCGCAACGGCGGCGCCCACCAUCCUCCUCCUACCCAGCCCUCCCUCGCCUGCCUCUCAUCUCCGUCUCUCCCUCCCCUUCCUCUCUCUCUCUUCCAUUCUCUUCCCUUCCCUUCUGAGAUGGCGGCUGCUACGAGGCGGCGGUGGUGGCCAGGGGCAGCCGGCGUGGUUGGAGCCUAGCACUCCCUCUCCCACAUCUUGCGUGCGGAGCACCUGAACACCUUCUCCCUCUGCUUUGUUUGCUCGUGUGCUACAGGUGCUACAGGAAACCCUAGCUGCCUAUUUUCGAGCAGGUCGCGUUCAUUCUAUUGGUUCAGUUGUUGAUCAGUUUGAUUAGUUCAUGGUUUGUUCUGUGAGUUCCGAUUUAUUUUGAUGGGUUCAGGUUCGACUUCCAGAUGUGCUGAUCCUGCAAGGUCGUUAGUUUAUGGUUUCAAGUAUGAAUUUAUAUUUGUAUUAGUGGGUUCAGGUUCAAUUUCAUACCUAUUCUAUUUUGACUGCGUAUAUUAAAUAUGUCCUUAUCCUGCAAUCCAAUAUCCUUAGGCUAACUUUUUUUUUGCCUUUAUCAAAUAAAUAGGGGCUUCAUGCUCUGUUUCUGAAUCCUCACAGAUUCAUGAUUUUGAAGUGAAGGUAGCAAAUGUUUUUGCAGGAUUGGCAUUACGUAUUAAAGUGCAAAGUCGUUAGUUUAUGGUUUCAGCUGUGAAUUUAUAGUUGUAUUGAGGUCCAAUUUCAGACAUAUUCUAUUUUGACUAGGUAUAUUAAAUAUGUCCUUAUCCUGCAAUCCAAUAUCCUCAGGCUAACCUUUUUUUUGCCUUUAUCAAAUAAAUAGGGGCUUCAUGCUCUGUUUCUGAAUCCUCAUAAAUUCAAGAUUCAUGAUUUUGGAGUGAAGGUAGCAAAUGUUUUUGCAGGAUUGGCACUACGUAUUAAAGUCAGGAUAUUGACGAAGGCACUAUCUGUUACCUUGCAGCAGACCGGGUUGGCACACUUUGCCUCUGCUCUUCACUAAUCGGAGUGGAUUCUAUGAGCAUUCUCUAUUUAUUUCACCUGUGCUAGGACACCAUAUCUACAGUUUGUUGUGAAUCUCGUAUUGAUACAUUGCCUAUUGUGAAUCUCGUAUUGAUACAGUGCCUACUUUCCGGUUCAUUCAUCUUGUCCUUUUUUAUAUUGAUUGGUGGAAUGUUGCCACACUUUGCCUCUACAUAUAAGUUAUAGUCUCAUAGGAGAUAUGACCACCUAUUGAAUCAGUUCUAUUUUAGCUCAAAGUAAUAUUGUGUCGUGUUAAUUUCAGUACUGUAGUAUCAGGCCUAGCAAUGAUUCAUGAGUUCUCAGCAAAAGAUAACAGUAGAUAGAAAAUGCAUUCAUACCUAUAAAUGCUAGAAGCAUUACAAUUGCUAAAAGUAACCAUAUACAAUUGCCAAGCCAGGAUCAAACCUUAUCAUGGAGGUGGUGGUAUUUUUUUCAUGAUUCCCUUUCCCACGAGUUCCUUAGUUAUGUAAUAAAAAAAUUGGUCAAGCUCUAUUUAUUCACGAGAUUCUUCCUACAGAUGCAGCAAAUCGCUACUGUGUCCAAUUCCAAAGGGUUUAGUGGUCUACCAGGAAUUCUGUGCCUGGCUGAUAUGUUGGGAUGCCUGCCUAGCAUAAAUCACUGCUGAGCCAAAUUCCAAAAGGGUUUAGUACUCUAAUGGAAAUUUUAUACCUGCCAGAUAUGUUGGGGAUAGUUUUGGAAGCGUGUCUCUAUUAAAGCUUGGUUUGGCUCAGAUAUAUUGGGGAUAGUUUUGGAAGUGUGUCUCUAUUAAAACUUGGUUUGGCUCAGAGAAUGCCUAGCAGACAUGCUAGAUGGGAUUCCUUUUACUGAAUCUUGUCGUAUAAUGUUGCUAAACUAGAAAUAUAUGUCUACCAUUUUCAAAGCAAAAUUUGUCAAUAAAUCUUAUUUUUUGUAUUUUUUCAGUAAGUGCUUAUAUUUAGAAGGUAGCACUACUCAGACAUUUAUUUAGUUUCCUGAAUAUUUUUUGUCAAAAGAGCAUCCGUAAAUUCAGGUGGAGCACUAAAAUUGUUCCUAUUUUUGAUAAUUAACUUCCGGAAUGAAUCCAUGGUCAGUGCAUUUCAUUUUGCAGCCUGCUUACCUCUAGAUUUAGUCAUUCGGUUGUCCAUUGCUACCUCCCUGUGCAAUUUUUUAAGCCCACUGAAGCUAGCAGUAGCAGCUGGUCUACUUUCCAAGAAGUUUAUCUUCUCGGUUACCCUCACCGAACACUCAUAUACCUCUAGGUCAAGGAGGCAAUACCUGAUCAAGUCCAUUUUAGAUAGACCGGACAGGCAUACCUCAUCAUUAAAUAUUGUUACCUCUGCAGCGGCUGCACAGAUUGUUCCAGUUCCAGUAACCAGUUCCAUACAACCAGCAAGUUCACUUGGUACUCCAGAGUACGCAGCCUGAACCACAGCCUGUAUCCUUUGACUGUGGAACUAAAUCGACACCUGCUCCAGCAGCUGUCCCAGAUGAUACACCUCUAAAGGAUCUUAUCACCAAGUCGCCAACAGGAACAUCACACGCUCAUAGGAAACUGUUUCGAGAAAACACUCUCACUGAAAAGGAAACCAUAGCGGAUCAAAAUUUGAACGCAAAGGGAAUCAUAAGGAUAACCACAAUGGUCCAAUUGAUCCACUACUGCAGCGCAAAAGAAAAAAAGGGAGAUACUUGAAUUUAGAUGAUCCAGACCAAGAGAACAAAAGGUCUUGCUGCAAAAUAACCAAGAAACUGGUUUCGAGACCCACUGAUUGUAUAAGGCAUUGCAGUAUUAGUUAGUUGAGACUGUCCAAGACUUUCGUAAACUUAUGUACUCGCUUCUAGGCUUGUCCAGUGUAUAUUAUUCAGGCUAUUAUGCUUUGAUCUCCUGGAUAUUACUUAAGAUGCCCAGGUCCUGUCCAAAAUUUAUAUGCCUAUCUAUUCAUGUACUUGCAAGAAGCAUAUAUGCUACCCGUACUAAUAUACUCCAGUAUGCAUGGAACUCAAUAUGCUAUCAUGUUUUUAAUUUGAA